rnacentral:misc_RNA from 1 species
UAUUAUAAUUUUAAAUAAUAUAUUAUUUUUAAAACAAUUAUAAAUAAAAUAAAUAUAUUUACAAUAUUAUGAAAUGUAAUUAUUAAUAUAAAUGUUUUUGUAAACGAGCCAGCUUAAGAGCUUAUUUACGAACCUAUUCAAUGAGCUUGUUCACGAGCUUGUUCAAUAAGCUGACGUGAGUUUGGUUCAUUUAUCAAUCGAGCCUAAAAUUCGAGCUCGAGCUCGAACUCGACUUGUUUAAAAAACAAACCGAAUCAAACUGAGUUUUUAUCGAGUUGAACCUCGAGUAGCAUGCGAAUAGUUUGGUUCGUUUACACCCCUACUUUUGCUGUUAGCUCACCUCCCAAUCAUCAUUAACCACUAUUUUUGGGUCACUAACACACUGCCUCUGGCUUCUUAUGGAUUUGUAUACUUACCAUUACUACCUAUUUGCAAUCUCCAGAUUCUAAUCACAUAUCUAGCAACUUCCUUUGAUUGCAUCCCAUACCUUAACAUCUCUUGUAAUUUUUUUUAAUUAUUUAUUUUAAUAUUCUGAAUAUCCUAUAUGAUAAAUGAUAAUGAAGGAUGGUCUCAUGCAUGCUAAUUUAGACACACACACACACACACAUAUA